AUUGAACGCUGGCGGCAGGCCUAACACAUGCAAGUCGAGCGGUAGCACAGAGAGCUUGCUCUCGGGUGACGAGCGGCGGACGGGUGAGUAAUGUCUGGGAAACUGCCUGAUGGAGGGGGAUAACUACUGGAAACGGUAGCUAAUACCGCAUAAUGUCGCAAGACCAAAGAGGGGGACCUUCGGGCCUCUUGCCAUCAGAUGUGCCCAGAUGGGAUUAGCUAGUAGGUGGGGUAACGGCUCACCUAGGCGACGAUCCCUAGCUGGUCUGAGAGGAUGACCAGCCACACUGGAACUGAGACACGGUCCAGACUCCUACGGGAGGCAGCAGUGGGGAAUAUUGCACAAUGGGCGCAAGCCUGAUGCAGCCAUGCCGCGUGUAUGAAGAAGGCCUUCGGGUUGUAAAGUACUUUCAGCGGGGAGGAAGGUGCUGAGGUUAAUAACCUCAGCAAUUGACGUUACCCGCAGAAGAAGCACCGGCUAACUCCGUGCCAGCCGCCGCGGUAA
rnacentral:rRNA from 1 species